rnacentral:rRNA from 1 species
GAUGAACGCUGGCGGCGUGCCUAAUACAUGCAAGUCGAGCGAACGGACGAGAAGCUUGCUUCUCUGAUGUUAGCGGCGGACGGGUGAGUAACACGUGGAUAACCUACCUAUAAGACUGGGAUAACUUCGGGAAACCGGAGCCAAUACCGGAUGAUAUUUUGAACCGCAUGGUUCAGAAGUGAAAGACGGUCUUGCUGUCACUUAUAGAUGGAUCCGCGCUGCAUUAGCUAGUUGGUAAGGUAACGGCUUACCAAGGCAACGAUGCAUAGCCGACCUGAGAGGGUGAUCGGCCACACUGGAACUGAGACACGGUCCAGACUCCUACGGGAGGCAGCAGUAGGGAAUCUUCCGCAAUGGGCGAAAGCCUGACGGAGCAACGCCGCGUGAGUGAUGAAGGUCUUCGGAUCGUAAAACUCUGUUAUUAGGGAAGAACAUAUGUGUAAGUAACUGUGCACAUCUUGACGGUACCUAAUCAGAAAGCCACGGCUAACUACGUG